UCCGCAGCAAGAACCCAGGCCGCCCGACUCCCGCCUGGCUCCAGGGCAGGUGCCAGCCCGACAGCCCAACUCAGAAGGAAGGGGGUGGGGCCUCCGCUGGGUGCGGCAGGGCUGCCGGCAGAGGCCGAGUGGGAGGCCGACGGUGCAGCCUCCCUCAGGAGGCUGCCGUCGCUUCGAUAAUUACUGGAAAUCUGUUCUCAGGUUAGAAGAAAGAUCACAGGGUGUAACAGGCACAGCAGUGACAGCACAGCCUGGGACCUGACCCUCUCUCCGGGAUUUGAAUCCCUGUGACCAGAAAGACGGAAUCUGGAUGCGCCACCACGUACAUAGAAUUAAAGCCAGAGAGAGAUUCCAAGUUCUCGGCUGGUCUUUCCUCUGCUGAAAUCAGUGACAUCUUCCCAGUUUGUUCGCGGGACGCAGGUGGUGCAAACGAGUCACACAAGGCAGGGAGAGUGAGCGCGAACACCGGCAAGGCCUUUGGCGGGCGGACCAGGGCUGGAAACUCCAGCUCCGUCACGGAGCAGCGUCUGGUUUCGAGCAGGCUGAGACUCUGGGUACCUUCUGUGUCCACCUUGAAGGAUUCCUGACUGAUGCGACCUGUGACCAGGACAGAGGCGCCAGGCUGAGCUGGUGCUUGGCUGGUGUGGGCUCUCUGUCCCUUCGACCCUUGCCGCCGGCGUCAGAACCAGCAAACUGACGGCGCUGGCAGGGAGGGAGGCCGCUGGGCACGAGUCUUCGGGAGCGUUGGAGAGAAGAAAGGGCUACAGCUGGGUCCCGGAGGCCGGCGGACUGGGGAGUCCCGAGUUGCCCCGGCCGGACUGGGGGAGUCCCCAGCCACCAGCCCUUCUGUGUCCUGAAGUUCGCCUCGAACCCCGAGGGCCUUCGCCUCAGUUUGACAGGAAACUCACAUGACUGGUUUUAGUAACGAGCAGGUUCCGUCCACGGAGGAGACGUCCAGUUUCUCUUGAGAGUGUCUCCUAGGUGAUGUCCUUUUUUUUCCGGGCAUGUAUGGGAGCCUGGGGGAGAUGCCGGGCACGCCGCCGCCCACCAGGGGUUGCUCUGUGACCGAGCUGUCCCUGUGCUCUUGGGGCACCCAGCACCGCCAUGCGGGCCACCGAGAAGAAAAGCGGCUUUGGGGACCUUGGCGGGUCAGCGGUGUGGGGGGAGCCAUGGGGACAGAGGGGAGAGGUGCAUGCUCGCUCUGGGGGGUGCCCCUUAGCCCGAUCCACGUCGAAAGGGAACAUUGGCACCCAGAAGCAGGGCACCCCCGGGAGCCGGGCUGCAGGUCCGACGGCUGCCAGCGGCGGGUACGGCCUGGGGUGCGUGGCCAGGGCCGGGCUGGGGCUGCACGCGAGCCGUCAGCAGCUGAACUCCGCGACCUUUGCGGGCGAAGGGCUUUUAUGCCAGAGACUUCACAGAGGAGAGAGGGAAGUGCGGGUCCGCGCCUGCUCGAAGAGUCGGCGUUCUUCGUUCCUCCUGUCACGCUGUCCCUCCCUCUUCU